rnacentral:rRNA from 1 species
CAGGAUUAGAUACCCUGGUAGUCCACGCCCUAAACGAUGCCAACUAGGUGUUGGGGAAGGAGACUUCCUUAGUACCGUAGCUAACGCGUGAAGUUGGCCGCCUGGGGAGUACGGUCGCAAGAUUAAAACUCAAAGGAAUUGACGGGGACCCGCACAAGCGGUGGAUGAUGUGGAUUAAUUCGAUGCAACGCGAAAAACCUUACCUACCCUUGACAUGCCAGGAAUCCCGCUGAGAGGUGGGAGUGCUCGAAAGAGAGCCUGGACACAGGUGCUGCAUGGCUGUCGUCAGCUCGUGUCGUGAGAUGUUGGGUUAAGUCCCGCAACGAGCGCAACCCUUGUCAUUAGUUGCCAUCAUUUAGUUGGGCACUCUAAUGAGACUGCCGGUGACAAACCGGAGGAAGGUGGGGAUGACGUCAAGUCCUCAUGGCCCUUAUGGGUAGGGCUUCACACGUCAUACAAUGGUCGGUACAGAGGGUUGCCAAGCCGCGAGGUGGAGCCAAUCCCAGAAAGCCGAUCGUAGUCCGGAUCGGAGUCUGCAACUCGACUCCGUGAAGUCGGAAUCGCUAGUAAUCGUGGAUCAGCAUGCCACGGUGAAUACGUUCCCGGGUCUUGUACACACCGCCCGUCACACCAUGGGAGUGGGUUUCACCAGAAGUAGGUAGCCUAACCGCAAGGGGGGCGCUUACCACGGUGGGAUUCAUGACUGGGGUGAAGUCGUAACAAGGUAACC